rnacentral:misc_RNA from 1 species
AAUGGAAAACUAUCUAAACUUGUUUCGUAGUUUAAAAUUGGGAAGUAUUUUUCUGUUUAGAAAAAUUUUACAACCAAACACCAAAUUCCAUUUUCCAAUUUUCUUAGGAUAAUUUGUGAAAAACCAUCCUGUUUUCCACAACUAAACAAAGCUCAAUUUGGUUCUCCCUCCAAUAUCCACACAAAUGGAAUAAAAAUACUAUUUCUAAGUUCAGUAAGAAACAUGUGGAAGAUAAUGACAGCAUAUCUCCAAAAUAUAGUGUCAUGAAUAAUAAAAGAGUAAUGAAUAAGAAGAUUAUCUGAUAUCUUACCGCUAAUCACUUCACCAUCA